AACGAACGCUGGCGGCAUGCCUAAUACAUGCAAGUCGAACGAGAUCUUCGGAUCUAGUGGCGCACGGGUGCGUAACGCGUGGGAAUCUGCCCUUGGGUUCGGAAUAACUUCUGGAAACGGAAGCUAAUACCGGAUGAUGACGUAAGUCCAAAGAUUUAUCGCCCAAGGAUGAACCCGCGUAGGAUUAGGUAGUUGGUUAGGUAAAGGCUCACCAAGCCGACGAUCCUUAGCUGGUCUGAGAGGAUGAUCAGCCACACUGGGACUGAGACACGGCCCAGACUCCUACGGGAGGCAGCAGUAGGGAAUAUUGGAAAAUGGGCGAAAGCCUGAUCCAGCAAUGCCGCGUGAGUGAUGAAGGCCUUAGGGUUGUAAAGCUCUUUUACCCGGGAUGAUAAUGACAGUACCGGGAGAAUAAGCUCCGGCUAACUCCGUG
rnacentral:rRNA from 1 species